rnacentral:rRNA from 1 species
CGCGUGAGCAACAUGCCCGUAGGUGGAGGAUAGUCGAAUGGAAACGUCGUGUAAUACUCCGUAACAACAGUUCCCGCAUGAGGAUUGUUUAAUAGAUUCAUUGCCUACGGAUUGGCUCGCGUACCAUUAGGUAGUUGGUGAGGUAACGGCCCACCAAGCCGACGAUGGUUAGGGGUUCUGAGAGGAAGGUCCCCCACAUUGGAACUGAGACACGGUCCAGACUCCUACGGGAGGCAGCAGUGAGGAAUAUUGGUCAAUGGCCGGAAGGCUGAACCAGCCAUGCCGCGUGCGGGAAGACGGCCCCCUAUGGGUUGUAAACCGCUUUUGUGUGGGAGCAAUAAGCAUCACGUGUGAUGCGAUGAGAGUACCAUACGAAUAAGCAUCGGCUAACUCCGUGCCAGCCGCCGC